rfam:Aedes aegypti strain Liverpool supercont1.96 genomic scaffold, whole genome shotgun sequence.
CCUCUAGUAGUGUAGGAGUAACGCGCCCUAACUAGUGAGCAGGGAGUCGUGAGUUCGAUUCUCACCGAGAAGA